rnacentral:rRNA from 1 species
GCCUACGGGGCGCAGCAGUGGGGAAUAUUGCGCAAUGGGCGAAAGCCUGACGCAGCGACGCCGCGUGAGGGAUGAAGGUCUUCGGAUCGUAAACCUCUGUCAGCAGGGAAGAACGGUCACUGUGCUAAUCAGCAGUGAAUUGACGGUACCUGCAAAGGAAGCACCGGCUAACUCCGUGCCAGCAGCCGCGGUAAUACGGAGGGUGCGAGCGUUAUCCGGAUUUAUUGGGUGUAAAGGGUGCGUAGACGGAGAAACAAGUUGGUUGUGAAAUCCCUCGGCUCAACUGAGGAACUGCAACCAAAACU